rnacentral:rRNA from 1 species
UACGUAGGGUGCAAGCGUUGUCCGGAAUUAUUGGGCGUAAAGAGCUCGUAGGCGGUCUGUCACGUCGGACGUGAAAAUCCAGGGCUCAACCCUGGACCUGCGUUCGAUACGGGCAGACUAGAGUUCGGUAGGGGAGACUGGAAUUCCUGGUGUAGCGGUGAAAUGCGCAGAUAUCGGGAGGAACACCAGUGGCGAAGGCGACUUCCUGGCCUGUUCUUGACGCUGAGGCGCGAAAGCUAGGGGAGCAAACGGG